GAUGAACGCUGACAGAAUGCUUAACACAUGCAAGUCAACUUGAACUUCGGUUUGGGUGGCGGACGGGUGAGUAACGCGUAAAGAACUUGCCUCACAGAUAGGGACAACAUUUGGAAACGAAUGCUAAUACCUGAUAUUAUGAUUAUAUGGCAUCGUAUAAUUAUGAAAGCUAUAUGCGCUGUGAGAGAGCUUUGCGUCCCAUUAGCUAGUUGGAGAGGUAACGGCUCACCAAGGCGAUGAUGGGUAGCCGGCCUGAGAGGGUGAUCGGCCACAAGGGGACUGAGAAACGGCCCUAACUCCUACGGGAGGCAGCAGGGGGAAAUAUUGGACAAUGGACCAAGAGUCUGAUCCAGCAAUUCUGUGUGAACGAUGGAGUUUUUCGGGAUGUAAAGUGCUUUCAGUUGGGAAGAAAAAAAUGACGGUACCAACAGAAGAAGUGACGGCUAAAUACGUG
rnacentral:rRNA from 1 species